CAGCCGCCGCGGGAAUACGAAGGGUGCAAGCGUUACUCGGAAUUACUGGGCGUAAAGCGUGCGUAGGUGGUGGUUUAAGUCCGUUGUGAAAGCCCUGGGCUCAACCUGGGAAUUGCAGUGGAUACUGGGUCACUAGAGUGUGGUAGAGGAUAGUGGAAUUUCCGGUGUAGCAGUGAAAUGCGUAGAGAUCGGAAGGAACAUCUGUGGCGAAGGCGACUAUCUGGGCCAACACUGACACUGAGGCACGAAAGCGUGGGGAGCAAACAGGAUUAGAUAUCCCGGUAGUCCCUGUCUCUUAUAC
rnacentral:rRNA from 1 species